ensembl:snoRNA
GCUCUCUGGUGAUGUUUUGCACUGGGCUCAGAUCAUCGCUGUUGACAGAAGUGCAGCUCUGCUCCUGACAAGGCAGAGUCUGAAUAGAGA